rnacentral:lncRNA from 1 species
UGUCUGUUUCAACAGCCCUGCCCCUCCUCGGAGCCUGCUUGUGGAAUUCUUCCCCUUCGGGUGUGUGGUGGCAUUCCCCGCCACGUCCAAUGUGGACUCCAAAGGAUUUGUCCCUUCUUUGUCAUUUGAAAUGAAAUGAUGGCCACGCGUCGGACUGGUCUGUCUGAGGGAGAUGGUGACAAGCUCAAGGCCUGCGAGGUCUCAAAAAAUAAAGAUGGAAAAGAACAAAGUGAAACUGUAUCACUGUCUGAAGAUGAAACAUUCUCCUGGCCAGGUCCCAAAACAGUUACGUUGAAAAGAACAUCUCAAGGCUUUGGUUUUACAUUAAGACAUUUUAUUGUUUAUCCCCCAGAGUCUGCAAUUCAAUUUUCAUAUAAGGAUGAAGAAAAUGGAAACAGAGGAGGAAAACAAAGAAACCGCUUGGAACCAAUGGAUACCAUAUUUGUUAAGCAAGUUAAAGAAGGAGGACCUGCUUUUGAAGCUGGAUUAUGUACAGGUGACCGAAUUAUAAAAGUCAAUGGAGAAAGUGUUAUUGGCAAAACCUAUUCCCAAGUAAUUGCUUUAAUUCAAAACAGUGAUACAACAUUGGAACUUAGUGUUAUGCCAAAAGAUGAAGACAUUCUCCAAGUGGUAAGUUUUAUUUAUUCAUAUAUGAGUUGUUUUACAGUCAUGAAUGUUCGGAAAAUAUUUUUGAGAUGGAAGUAUUAAAGAUGGAAUUUAAAAAAAAUUCUAGAAUUUAAAAACCCUCUGGUUCCUUUUACAGAAUCUGGAAUUCUCUACAUUUUACAAAAAUACCAUUGCCAAGUUUUUGCAAUUAAGUGACAUGGAAAUGUUAUGUUGAUUCUACAGUGAACUCUUAAUGCUCUCAUUUAGAAUGAGAUUCCUAAAGAGUUUGUCCUAGUGUUGCCUUCUAGUUCAUCCUUGGACCAAAGGAAGAGUUUAGAGUGCAAGUGCAUAUCCCCAGGAAUUAGAAUCUUUUUUUUUUUCCUUCUCACUAUGUACAGAGAAAAAAAAAAAAUAGAAUCUUAUUUUUGUAAUACGAGGACAAACUUUAUGAUUGCCAUUUUCUAAUUUUCCAAUAAAUAUUACGUUUGUAAAUUCACCAAGCAGUAUUGUUAGUAGUAUCAAUUCGUUCCUAAAAUGUUCACAAUGAACGGAGUCUACAACUUAAGGGGAAAAUAUGUUAUGGUCUUGAAAUGAAACUUGAAAACUUUAGUAUUUAGUCUAAAAUAUUUUUCUGAUUUUUAUAAAGAAAGAAAUUGAAUAGAAUACUUAACUCCUUUACUAAGCUUAAAUACUGCUGAUGAUAAAAAUAUAAAUUUCAUCUGGGCACGGUGGCUCACGCCUGUAAUCCCAGCACUUUGGGAGGCCGAGGCGGGCGGAUCAUGAGGUCAGGAGUUCGAGACUAGCCUGGCCAAUGUGGUGAAACCCUAUCUCUACCCUAUCUCUACUAAAUACAAAAAUUAGCUGGGCAUUGUGGUGGGCACCUGUAAUCCCAGCUACUUGGGAGGCUGAGACAGGAGAAUCGCUUGAAACCGGAAGGCAGAGGUUGCAGUGAGCCAAGAUCGCGCCACUGCACUCCAGCCUGGGUGAAACAGCAAAACUUCAUCUC